UAUGGCAGACAGUUGGCCUGACUAGUCACUGUCUGUGAUGUCACAGUCCACCAGGAGUGACAAAGUGUAAAUUAAUAAGGUAGACAAUGGGCCUGACUAGUCACAGUCUGUGAUGUCACAGUCCACCAGGAGUGACAAAGUGUAAAUUAAUAAGGUAGACAGUUGGCCUGACUAGUCACAGUCUGUGAUGUCACAGUCCACCAGGAGUGA